rnacentral:rRNA from 1 species
AUUGAACGCUGGCGGCAGGCUUAACACAUGCAAGUCGAGCGGGGUGAUGGUGCUUGCACUAUCACUUAGCGGCGGACGGGUGAGUAAUGCUUAGGAAUCUGCCUAUUAGUGGGGGACAACAUCUCGAAAGGGAUGCUAAUACCGCAUACGUCCUAUGGGAGAAAGCAGGGGAUCACUUGUGACCUUGCGCUAAUAGAUGAGCCUAAGUCGGAUUAGCUAGUUGGUGGGGUAAAGGCCUACCAAGGCGACGAUCUGUAGCGGGUCUGAGAGGAUGAUCCGCCACGCGGGGACUGGGACACGGCCCAGACUCCGACGGGAGGCAGCAGUGGGGAAGAUUGGACAAUGGGGGGAACCAUGAUCCAGCCAUGCCGCGUGUGUGAAGAAGGCCUUAUGGUUGUAAAGCACUUUAAGCGAGGAGGAGGCUCUUUUGGUUAAUACCCAAGAUGAGUGGACGUUACUCGCAGAAUAAGCACCGGCUAACUCUGUGCCAGCCGCCGCCGUAA